rnacentral:tRNA from 1 species
GGCUCCGUAGUGUAGUGGUUAGCACGUCUGCUUUACAUGCAGAAGGUCCUCCUGGGUUUGCACCCCAAGUGGAGCCA